rnacentral:rRNA from 1 species
UACGUAGGGGGCAAGCGUUGUCCGGAUUCAUUGGGCGUAAAGAGCGUGUAGGCGGCCAGGUCGGUCGGUUGUGAAAACUGGAGGCUCAACCUUCAGAGGUCGACCGAAACCAUCUGGCUAGAGUCCGGGAGAGGAGAGUGGAAUUCCUGGUGUAGCGGUGAAAUGCGCAGAUAUCAGGAAGAACACCCGUGGCGAAAGCGGUUCUCUGGAACGGUACUGACGCUGAGACGCGAAAGCGUGGGGAGCGAACAGG